UACAGAGGUGUCAAACGUUGUCCGGAAUUACUGGGCGUAAAGGGCGCGUAGGCGGCCUUAUAAGUCAUGUGUGAAAGCUCUGGGCUCAACCCAGGAAUUGCAUGUGAUACUGUAAGGCUCGAGUUCGGUAGAGGAGGGCGGAAUUCCAGGUGUAGCGGUGAAAUGCGUAGAUAUCAGGAGGAAUACCGAUGGCGAAGGCAGGUCUCUGGGCUGACACUGACGCUCAUGCACGAAAGCGUGGGGAGCAAACAGG
rnacentral:rRNA from 1 species